GAUCAUGGCUCAGGAUGAACGCUAGCUACAGGCUUAACACAUGCAAGUCGAGGGGUAGCAGGGUAGCAAUACCGCUGACGACCGGCGCACGGGUGAGUAACACGUAUCCAACUUCCCAUAACUCAGGGAUAGCCUUUCGAAAGAAAGAUUAAUACCUGAUAGUACUUUUUCAAGGCAUCUUGAGAAGUUAAAGAUUUAUGGUUAUGGAUGGGGAUGCGUUCCAUUAGAUAGUUGGUGAGGUAACGGCUCACCAAGUCUUCGAUGGAUAGGGGUUCUGAGAGGAAGGUCCCCCACAUUGGUACUGAGACACGGACCAAACUCCUACGGGAGGCAGCAGUGAGGAAUAUUGGUCAAUGGGCGAGAGCCUGAACCAGCCAAGUAGCGUGAAGGAAUGAAGGUCCUAUGGAUUGUAAACUUCUUUUAUAGUAGAAUAAAGUGAUCCACGUGUGGAUUUUUGUAUGUAUACUAUGAAUAAGGAUCGGCUAACUCCGUGCCAGCCGCCGC
rnacentral:rRNA from 1 species